CAUGGGCUUCCUACCCUUCAGAUUGAUCGGAGGCAGCCGAGUAACCGGAAUCACACCCUCUACCACUUUGAAGAUGCUGACGUCCAUUACUAUGUCAUCUGUUGCUGCUCCGGUCACAAGGUUGAACAGACACACAUCGAAUUCUUCAAGGAAAUUUUCAUGUACAAAUCUUUUCCAACCGCCCGCCAGUCCACCUGUACGAUAAUCCCUCUUAUAGAACCUCACCUUCCAAGUUUUGUCUUUCACUUGGAGUGUAAGAUCUUGGCUUCUGUUCGGCAUAUAUUUCGUUGCCCAUUCAGAAGGAAUUUGCUGCCAUUACAAUAUAAACAAUUAAAAUCUUCAAUUCUAAUCAUAUUUCAAAGAUAGGAAUACACAAACACGUACAUUCAAAAGAAAGUAUAUAACCAGAAAGAAAGGUUAUCAGCAAAAGUUUACCAGAUAAAAUCCCCUGUAAACAUGUGUCGGCCGCAUGACAACUAUAAAGGAGUUUUCAGAUGCUGAUGCACAUGCCAUCUUUAGGGCCUCAUCUUUAUCUUCCUCAGUCACUUGCCUCCUGUGCGACGCCGGGCCAGAAAAAACACUCCGAUUGAUGGAACCUUUUUUUUUUUUUUUUUUUGAAGUCAGAGUAAGUCAAAAAGCAUCACAUUGAAAUGUUGGAUUCUUCCCAACAACUGAGUGAAGAGUUUUUUACUGCAUUUGACAUUAUAACAAUCUAAAACCAACGAUGUGCUACAGGAAUUGAAACCAUUAUAGACUUUUUCUUUUAAGCUAUGUAUCCGGCACCACAAGGCUCUUAACUAAAUUUGGAUUUCUCUUAAGAUACUUACUACAUGUUCCCCGUUGCCGUCCUCGAGACCUUGGCGGCAAAGCACCAUGCUUUCUAGGUCUUUUUGAUGGGGUAGACUCAGAAACGUCGUGUGAAGCUUCAUUAGUAACCUCAAUAGUUUCUGUAGGAUUAUCCUUUCUUUUGCAUCCACCAUCGGUCCCUCCAUUCUCGCAUCUUUUUAUGAAAUAAGAACUCUCUUUCUCGCAUAAGCUUUGAUAGUCAAACAUCAAAACAUCAAAUCGCGAAGCCCCAACGUACUUAAAAAUUAAGACAUCAUUUUCCUUCAGAGAGUGAUCUACAACAAACUUUUUCCAUCCUUCUUUCAAAUACAGUGUAUCAUCAAUCAUUGUUAAUCCAGCCUUCCAUUCAAGGCCACUAGGACCUUUGAGUGAAACGGCUCCUACUAGCUUCUCUUUCAAAUUGUUGGCAAAUUUUUGGGGAAUAGCCUGCAUGUUUGGUUCAAAUCACAAAUUUUAGAGCACUGAAUUUGAUUGUGGGAGAGUGAAUCAGAUGAACAGAAAUAAAUAAAUAAACAUAUGUGUGUGUGUAUCUUGUUUUCGUUCCUGCUAAUGGUGACGGUUCACAAGUACAACUUUCUUGAGAACAGAUAAUACUACCUAUGUAGUGUAUUUAAAUUGAAAAUUUUCUCUCAUGUUGUUCUCAAGUUUAUUUUCUUCUCCAUUGUUCAUCCCAACUGGUAUGUGAAUAUACUGCUUCCUUUUUCCAAUGUACUGCUAAAAUGUACAAACGGGUGAGGAUUUAAAGCCUAUUUUUUGUAGAUGAACAACCAAAAAUUUUUUUUUUUAAAUAAUUACAAUGAUAAAUUGAAAAAAAAAAUUAAAAUCAUUACAAGUCAAUUUCUAUCUUGGAUGAUGAAAACGGGUUAAAUUAUCCAAAUCCGGAGGAGCCAGCAGUCCCCUCCUUAUGCAUGGCAAGUAGCAGCAGGCAUCUUUUUUCUAUGUUUCUUUAGCCCUUGAAAGAAUGCAGCUAAACUACGCAGGGGGAGGGGUGGGGGCGACUAAAAACUUACAAGUUGGUUUCGAUAAUUACGGCCAGAGAGAGUUUGAAAGAACUGAGCUGACUGAAAAUGGGACCAGUAAAUUUCUUCCUCCCACUUCCUACAGGCCCUGCCAUCAUCUCCCAUUUUUCUUCCACUAAUCAGCUUUAUUCUUCCUCCUGAAAUCGAACCAGACAAAAACAAGAAAAACCCUCAACCAGAAGCCAAAAAUACAAAAAAAAAAAAAAUGGAAGAUCAUUACAGAUAGAAUUGAGAUGACGAGAAGGUAGAAACAGAUGAGAGAAAAUCUCAACCAUAAAGCCAGAAGGUUACCUUGCCUAACUUUUUCUUAACAACGAGGUUUAUUUUUCUGUUGACAGGGUGGGCUUUUGCUGAUUCUGUUCUUCAUAGGUUGGCACCCCUUUGGGUAGGUGCUAGAGGUUUAGAGUUCACAUGGGACUACAUUUUGCAAGGACUAGAAGCAAAUGCAAAUUUGGUAAUUAGUUUCUGUACUUGAUAAUUUAAUUGUUAAAAGUUCAGUCGCGAUAUAGGAUUACAUGUUGGAGCGGACGAUAUUUUGCAGACAAUGAAAAGUUGUGUACUUGAGACUUUUCUAGUCCUUGAACUAAAUCCUUUUCCUGCCGUGUUGUUCUCUGUUUAUUCAGGUUUUGAGUAUAUCACUUGCUGCUUUGGGGUCUUUGAUGUGGCUUCGGAAGAACAAGCCCAAGACAUUGAUCCCUAUCAUAUACACGUGUGCAGGGAUUGUUGCGACAAUGCCAUCAAUAACGAGGUUCGCUUUUUCCUCACUUAUUUCCUCCUCCACUUUUAAAUCAAUGGAUGUUAAUUUUUCAGUGUUGGUGGGUGUGAAUUGAAUUGCCACAUUGGCAUGGUUCUACAUGACAAAUGGGAGUGCAUGAAUGAAUAUUUAAACUACUCUUUCAUCCCCGACUGAAGAUAAGUUGUAGAGAAUUGCAGUAGUACAAUUCCGUAAAGAUUGAGCUGUCUUCUGCAUCAUCUGUCGCAUAAUUUAAUUUUGAAGUUGGCCUCAUGGAACUAUGUUAUUGCUGCAGCUACUUGAGGCGAGGUUUGGGAUGGCAGUUACCGAAAGUAGUAGGCUUUGAACUUUUCACCUCUUUGGUGAUGGCUUUUAUCAGCUGGCAGCUCUUUGCUGCAUGUCAGAGGCCAUCGAGCUAAGCAACAGCGAAUUUACAGAUGAGGAAAUGGGCUAGUUCUCUGUGGUACAAGCAUUCUUAAUGAUUGCCUUUUUCUUUCGAGGCUGGUUUAGGAAUAUAAAGGCGUUGUAUCUUUCUCUUGUGGAAUUUCGUGUCCCAAGGGAUUUUGGAUUAUGCAUUUGCAAAAUUUUGCAGCGAUAUGCAAUUUAGGGGGUCCUUUACCAACAAUCACUUUGCAGUUUACAUGUGCGGUUGAUGGAUCUUUCAUUCCAAAAUGACUUGAAUGCUCCAUCGCUUUUUUAUGUACUCGAAAAAAGAUUGUUGUUACCUCAUAUCACUUUCACUCACAUUCGUCGUCUUAAAACCCACUUAACAAACACUGAUAAGAGUGCAUAUUCUGAAGGUGAAAAAAGAAACAAGAAAACUUGGCCAGCUGAUCAGUGUCCCCAAACCUGACUGACAAUAUAGUGCUAAUGUCGUCUUUACUGUCACCCAUAAAAUGUAGAACUAAUGGAGAAUUAACCUGGGAGUCCAUUUGAUCAACCAUACAAGCUGCUAGGAAAGGAUAAGAAAAGGAUGGCUACAUACAUGAAGUGUAAGGUUCUAGAGGAUAUACAGCAUAUUUUGUUUUAAAAUGGAUUAGAAAGCACACACAAGAAAAGGAUGGAAGAGUUUACCAUCUCACUGCAAAAGCAAAAACCAUUAAACGGAGCUAUGAUAGAGCUGAAAAUACUUCAAAAUAAAGGCCUGCAUUACAUCCAGGUGCAUUAAACACAUCUAAGCAUAGGCAAACCCAACUUCCAAGCUCAAAACGUUAAUGCCCUUCUUAAUUCUUGCCCUCAUAUCUUCAUGGGCUUCCUACCCUUCAGAUUGAUCGGAGGCAGCCGAGUAACCGGAAUCACACCCUCUACCACUUUGAAGAUGCUGACGUCCAUUACUAUGUCAUCUGUUGCUCCGGUCACAAGGUUGAACAGACACACAUCGAAUUCUUCAAGGAAAUUUUCAUGUACAAAUCUUUUCCAACCGCCCGCCAGUCCACCUGUACGAUAAUCCCUCUUAUAGAACCUGACCUUCCAAGUUUUGUCU
rnacentral:lncRNA from 1 species